CCUACGGGUGGCUGCAGUGGGGAAUAUUGCGCAAUGGGCGAAAGACUGACGCAGCGACGCCGCGUGAGGGAUGAAGGUCUUCGGAUCGUAAACCUCUGUCAGCAGGGAAGAACGGUCACUGUGCUAAUCAGCAGUGAAUUGACGGUACCUGCAAAGGCAGCCCCGGCUAACUCCGUGCCAGCAGCCGCGGUAAUACGGAGGGUGCGAGCGUUGAUCGGAGUUACUGGGCGUAAAGCGCACGUAGGCGGUAUUGCAAGUCAAGAGUGAAAGCCCAGCGCUCAACGUUGGAAAGGCUUUUGAGACUGGCAAACUAGAGUAUGAGAGAGGAUAGUAGAAUUCCAGGUGUAGGGGUGAAAUGCGUAGAUAUCAGGAGGAACAUCAGUAGCGAAGGCGACAAUCUGGC
rnacentral:rRNA from 1 species